rnacentral:rRNA from 1 species
UACGUAGGGACCAAGCGUUGUUCGGAUUUACUGGGCGUAAAGGGCGCGUAGGCGGCUUGACAAGUCACUUGUGAAAUCUCCGGGCUUAACUCGGAACGGCCAAGUGAAACUGUCAUGCUAGAGUGCAGAAGGGGCAAUCGGAAUUCUUGGUGUAGCGGUGAAAUGCGUAGAUAUCAAGAGGAACACCAAUUGCGAAGGCAGCUCGCUGGGGCGUUACUGACGCUGAGACGCGAAAGCGUGGGGAGCAAACAGG